rnacentral:rRNA from 1 species
UACGUAGGGGGCAAGCGUUGUCCGGAAUCAUUGGGCGUAAAGAGCGUGUAGGCGGCUCGAUAAGUCUGCUGUGAAAGUCCAGGGCUCAACCCUGGAAGGCCGGUGGAAACUGUCGGGCUAGAGUCCGGAAGAGGCGAGUGGAAUUCCCGGUGUAGCGGUGAAAUGCGCAGAUAUCGGGAGGAACACCAAUGGCGAAGGCAGCUCGCUGGGUCGGUACUGACGCUGAGACGCGAAAGCGUGGGGAGCAAACAGG